rnacentral:siRNA from 1 species
AAUUCCGGCUCCUCACACACAGAG